rnacentral:rRNA from 1 species
UGGCGGCAGGCUUAACACAUGCAAGUCGAACGCCCGAGCAAUCGGGAGUGGCAGACGGGUGAGUAACACGUGGGAACAUACCCUUUGGUUCGGAACAACGCCGGGAAACUGGCGCUAAUACCGGAUACGCCCUUUGGGGGAAAGGCUUGCCGCCGAAGGAGUGGCCCGCGUUCGAUUAGCUAGAUGGCGGGGUAACGGCCCACCAUGGCGACGAUCGAUAGCUGGUCUGAGAGGAUGGCCAGCCACAUUGGGACUGAGACACGGACCAGACUCCUACGGGAGGCAGCAGUAAGGAAUAUUGGUCAAUGGGCGCAAGCCUGAACCAGCCAUGCCGCGUGCAGGAAGACGGCCCUAUGGGUUGUAAACUGCUUUUGCGAGGGAAUAAACCCUUCUACGUGUAGGAGGCUGAGUGUACCUCGAGAAUAAGGAUCGGCUAACUCCGUGCCAGCAGCCGCGGUAAUACGGAGGAUCCGAGCGUUAUCCGGAUUUAUUGGGUUUAAAGGGUGCGCAGGCGGCCUGUUAAGUCAGGGGUGAAAGCGGAUAGCUCAACUAUCCAAGUGCCUUUGAUACUGACGGGCUUGAAUGCAGCUGAAGUAGGCGGAAUGUGACAAGUAGCGGUGAAAUGCAUAGAGAUGUC